rnacentral:rRNA from 1 species
UUACCAGCUUGACAUCUAUGAAAGCUUCGGACAGGUGCUGCAUGGCCGUCGUCAGCUCGUGUCGUGAGAUGUUGGGUUAAGUCCCGCAACGAGCGCAACCCUGUGUUAGUUACCAGCGUACGGGACUCUAACAGACUGCCCAGAUCAAUGGGAGGAAGGUGGGGACGACGUCAGGUCAGUAUGGCCCUUACGCUGGGCUGCACACGUACUACAAUGCAGCACAUGAGCCACCGCGAGGGGAGGAAUCUACAACUGGCUCAGUUCGGAUUGGAGGCUGCAACUCGCCUCCAUGAAGCUGGAAUCGCUAGUAAUGGCAAUCAGCACGUGCCGUGAAUACGUUCCCGGGUCUUGUACACACCGCCCGUCACAUCAUGGAAGUCGGCGACCGAA